GAUGAACGCUGGCGGCGUGCCUAAUACAUGCAAGUCGAGCGAACGGACGAGAAGGUGGCUUCUCUGAUGUUAGCGGCGGACGUGUGAGUAACACGUCGAUAACCUACCUAUAAGACUGCGAUAACUUCGGGAAACCGGAACUGAUACCGGGUAAUAGUUUGAACCGCAUGGUUCAAAAGUGAAAGACGGUCUUGCUGUCACUUAGAGAUGGAUCCGCGGUGGAUUAGCUAUUUGGUAAUGUAACGGCUUACCGAGGCAACAAUGCAUAGCCGACCCGACAGGGUGAUGGCGCCCACGGGAACUGAGACACGGCACAGACUCCUACGGGAGGCCGAAGUAGGGACUCUUCCGCAAUGGGCGAAAGCCUGAAGGAGCAACGCCGCGUGAGUGAAGAAGGUCUUCGGAUCGUAAAACUCUGUUAUUAGGGAAGAACAUAUGUGUAAGUAACUGUGCACAUUUUGACGGUACCUAAUCAGAAAGCCCCGGCUAACUACGUG
rnacentral:rRNA from 1 species